CUCCCGGGCCCGGGUCGGGGCUCGAUGGCUACGUGGAGGCGGGACGGCCGACUGACAGGCGGCCAAAGGCUGCUGUGCGCUGGGCUGGCGGGGACGCUCAGCCUCAGCCUCACCGCGCCCCUGGAGCUCGCCACCGUGCUGGCCCAGGUUGGCGUCGUGCGAGGCCACGCCCGGGGACCGUGGGCCACAGGGCACCGGGUGUGGCGGGCAGAGGGGCUCCGGGCCCUGUGGAAGGGGAACGCGGUGGCGUGCCUGCGCCUCUUCCCUUGCAGCGCGGUGCAGCUCGCCGCCUACCGCAAGUUUGUUGUGCUGUUCACAGAUGACCUGGGCCACAUUUCCCAGUGGAGCUCCAUCAUGGCUGGGAGUCUCGCAGGCAUGGUUUCCACCAUUGUAACAUAUCCUACAGACCUCAUCAAAACCCGGUUGAUCAUGCAGAACAUGCUGGAACCAUCGUACAGGGGGCUUCUCCAUGCUUUUUCUACUAUUUACCAACAGGAAGGGUUCCUUGCUCUUUAUCGAGGGGUUUCCCUCACUGUUGCAGGUGCUCUCCCGUUCUCUGCUGGCUCCCUUCUUGUUUACAUGAACCUGGAGAAAAUCUGGAACGGACCCCGAGAUCAGUUCUCUCUCCCACAGAACUUUGCUAAUGUCUGUCUGGCUGCUGCAGUGACCCAGACCCUCUCCUUUCCCUUUGAGACCAUGAAGAGAAAGAUGCAGAGCUGUCACUUAUUUGCCUACGACGGCUGUGUUCCUCUUGAGGCUGUAAUGGGCAGACUAGCUCAGUGGGUAACAGUGUGAGCUUUGGAUACCAGCCUUGCCCCUUACUCCCGCGUGAACUUGUGUACACCACAUAACCCAUCUGAGCCUCAUCUUCCUCAUCUGUUUUGAGGCCCACAAAACAAGAAGAACCCCACAGCAGCCAUUCUUUGCCAUCACCUUAGCCAGGAACCCAGCAUCCAGAGUGUAGACUUGAGACCCUGGCUUCUUCCACUAGGACAUUUAUUUCCUAGUGUUUCAAUCACCUCAUCCCAGCUUCUGUUUCCUGCCAGGCUCAGAGCCCCUACCUCCCACACAAUGGAGGAGUAGAUGUCCAUUUCUCAGGAGCAGUGGACUGCUUCCGGCAGAUAGUGAAGGCCCAGGGGGUCCUGGGGCUCUGGAAUGGAUUGACAGCCAAUUUACUGAAGAGCUAUAAAUUGACCCCAGGAGUCGAUCAGAGUUUGCAGCCCCAGGAAUUACGAGAAUUAAAGAAGUUCUUCAAAACGAGAAAACUGAAGCCUAAAAAACCAACUCUAUAAAAUGGAAUGGAACUAGAAGUGCACUGACUGACAGCGUGUUGCAAUCACAGAUAAAUGUAGCCUCAUAAUUGUGUACCUGAGGAGGGAUGAGAAGCUACUGCUAUCUGCUGCUCUGGGAAAUGAGAUGGUUUGGCCACGCACCACCUCAGAUCUCCAAACUGAUGUCCCUGUGAACACCUGCACCAUGAGAAGGUUUCCCAACAAGAGUGUGUCAUGAUGGCAUUCCACGAGAUUUUAUAACCAGAGUCUAGCAGUGACAAAAUGUACAAUUAAGCUCUGAAUAGAAACAUGACACCAAAGAAAGGGCAUUGCCAUGACAUCUCAAAGCAACAGGUAAUUGAAGUGGCUGAGUGGAUACCACGUUGUGAGGUCAGCCACUGGGUCACUUGUAGUCAAUGCAAAGCUUGCACAAACCAAUGUCAGCCUAGUUUCGCUCAGUUUGACCUGAGACUUUCCAAUACAAUCUGUUGUUUUGUUUUGUUUUUAGAGACAGGGUCUUGCUCUGUCACCCAGACUGGAGUACAAUGACACGAUCAUAGCUCACUGCAGCCUUGAACUCCUGGGCUCAAGACAUCCUCCUGCUUCAGCCUCCUGAGAGUUGGGACCAUAGGUGCAUACCACCACACCUAGCUAAUUUUUUGGGGAGGUCUUGCUAUGUUGCCCAGGCUGGUCUUGAACUCUGGACUCAUGCAGUCCUCCUGCCUUGGCCUCCCAAAGCGCUAGGAUUACAGGUGUGAGCCGCUGCACCCUGCCCCAGUACAAUCUUUCUUGAACUCAAAUUUUUGCUGACAUCUGAGUGCACACACCACAGUGUAAAUUAUGCCUUAUCAGAAUCUAAAUGAAAAUAGCGAACAUUUAAAAGCUAUCAUCAUUGUAGUAGAAUCAUCCUUCUUUUUUGAAAUUUGAAGCAUCCCAGGCUUAAAAUCUUGUGUUUCAGAAAGACAGUUUAUACCAUGACUGCUUAAUUAUCCCCCCAAAAACCUUCUGAUUGAAGUCAUGUACAGUUCAGUGGCCUAAAUUCUCUGCCUUUUUAACUUGCUUUGCAAGCCUACCCUGAAAAUAAGUUAGUCAAGUUAUUCUCAAAGAUGUCCCAGUUGCCUAGAAAGGAUCAAAUGGAACAUUUGACACACAUACCCAAAAAAAUGUAACUGACUAUAAACACUUUAACCUAAUCAUCUGUAUCAAACUUUCUAAAAAUCAAAUUUCAGGAUUGUUCCACUUUAGAGAUUCUAUGUAAAGUUUAAAUAACUAUACUUUUCAAAUAGCACCUAUCUAUGCAUUUAAAAAUGCAUUAAUAUCUAACAUAAAAUUGUUAAUUUAUACACACACAUACACUCAUACAUAGAGAUUUUCAGUAUAUUGCAAGUAUUUUUUCCGAUUAAAUUUAUUUUCCAAAG
rnacentral:sRNA from 1 species